rnacentral:rRNA from 1 species
UACGUAGGGUGCAAGCGUUGUCCGGAAUUAUUGGGCGUAAAGAGCUCGUAGGCGGUUUGUCGCGUCGGCUGUGAAAGCCCGGAGCUCAACUCCGGGUCUGCAGUCGAUACGGGCAGACUUGAGUGUUGCAGGGGAGACUGGAAUUCCUGGUGUAGCGGUGGAAUGCGCAGAUAUCAGGAGGAACACCGGUGGCGAAGGCGGCCUGCUGGGCAGUAGCUGACACUGAGGCGCGACAGCGUGGGGAGCAAACAGG